rnacentral:lncRNA from 1 species
CAUGACUUAUACAUGUUCCUAUGACUAUGAGAUUAUGCAACUCCUGAAUACCGGAGGAACACUUAGUGUGCUAUCAAACGUCACAACAUAACUGGGUGAUUAUAAAGAUGCUCUACAGGUGUCUCCGAUGGUGUUUGUUGAGUUGGCAUAGAUCAAGAUUAGGAUUUGUCACUCCGUGUUUCGGACAGGUAUCUAUGGGCCCUCUCGGUAAUGCACAUCACUAUAAGCCUUGCAAGCAAUGUGACUAAUGAGUUAGUUGCGGGAUGAUGCACUACGAAACGAGUAAAGAGACUUGCCGGUAACUAGAUUGAACUAGGUAUGAUGAUACCGACGAUCGAAUCUCGGGCAAGUAACAUACCGAUGACAAAGGGAACAACGUAUGUUGUGGUGCGGUUUGACCGAUAAAGAUCUUCAUAGAAUAUGUAGGAACCAAUAUGAGCAUCCAGGUUCCGCUGUUGGUUAUUGACCGGAGAAGUGUCUCGGUCAUGUCUACAUAGUUCUCGAACCCGUAGGGUCCGCACGCUUAACGUUCGAUGACGAUUGGUAUUAUGAGUUUAUGUGAUUUGAAGUACCGAAGGUUGUUCGGAGUCCCGGAUGAGAUCACGGACAUGACGAGGAGUCUCGAAAUGGUCGAGACAUAAAGAUUGAUAUAUUGGACCAUGUUGUUUGGACACCAGAAGUGUUCUGGAGAGUUUCGGAUAAAACCAGAGUGCCGGAGGGUUAAUGGGCCACCAUNNNNNNNNNNNNNNNNNNNNNNNNNNNNNNNNNNNNNNNNNNNNNNNNNNNNNNNNNNNNNNNNNNNNNNNNNNNNNNNNNNNNNNNNNNNNNNNNNNNNNNNNNNNNNNNNNNNNNNNNNNNNNNNNNNNNNNNNNNNNNNNNNNNNNNNNNNNNNNNNNNNNNNNNNNNNNNNNNNNNNNNNNNNNNNNNNNNNNNNNNNNNNNNNNNNNNNNNNNNNNNNNNNNNNNNNNNNNNNNNNNNNNNNNNNNNNNNNNNNNNNNNNNNNNNNNNNNNNNNUUCCCCUCCUUGUUGGACUAGGAAAGGGGGGAACCUACUCCUAGUAGGAGUAGGAUUCCCCCUCCCCCCUGGGCGCGCCCCUUGAGGCCGGCCGGCCCCCUCCUCCCCUCCUUUAUAUACGGGGGAGGGGGCACCCCAUAGACACACAAGUUGAUUUCUUAGCCGUGUGCGGUGCCCCCCUCCACAGUUUUCCACCUCGGUCAUAUUGUCGUAGUGCUUAGGCGAAGCCCUGCGUCGGUAACUUCAUCAUCAUUGUCACCACGCUGUCGUGCUGACAAAACUCUCCCUCGGCCUCAGCUGGAUCUAGAGUUCGAGGGACAUCACCAAGCUGAACGUGUGCAGAUCGCGGAGGUGCCGUGCGUUCGGUACUUGAUCGGUUGGAUCGCGAAGACGUUCGACUACAUCAACCGUGUUACUAAAUGCUUCCGCUUUCGGUCUAUGAGUGUACGUGGACACACUCUCCCCGCUCGUUGCUAUGCUUCUCCUAGAUAGAUAUUGCAUGAUCGUAGGAAAUUUUUUGAAAUACGACAUUCCCCAACAGAUUCUACAUGCGAAGCGGAGUACAUAGUUGCCUCGGAGGCAGCGAAGGAAGGUGUCUGGAUGAAGCAGUUCAUGACAGAUCUUGGAGUUGUGCCCAGUGUACUGAAACCAAUGACUCUGUUUUGUGACAACACUGGUGCCAUUGCUCUAGCCAAGGAACCAAGGUUUCACAAGAGGACCAGACACAUAAAGCGACGUUUCAACUCCAUCCGUGAUGUAGUCAAGGAGGAGGACAUAACAUUUGCAAAGUACAUACAGAUCUGAAUGUUGCAGAUCCGUUGACUAAACCUCUUCCACGGGCAAAACAUGAUCAACACCAGAACUCUAUGAGUGUUAGAUUCAUUAGCAUGUAAUACUAGAUUAUUGACUCUAGUGCAAGUGGGAGACUGUUGGAAGUAUGCCCUAGAGGCAAUAAUAAAGUGGUUUAUUAUAUUUCCUUGUUCAUGAUAAUCGUUUAUUAUCCAUGCUAUAAUUGUAUUGACCGGAAACUCAAAUACAUGUGUGGAUACAUAGACAACAACAUGUCCCUAGUAAGCCUGUACCGGACUAGCUCGUUGAUCAAAGAUGGCUAUGGUUUCCUAGUCAUAGACAUGAGUUGUCAUUUGUUAAUGGGAUCACAUCAUUAGGAGGUUUAUUGCUAUCGUUUUCUGCAUGUCAAAUAUCUGUUCAGAUGACCAUGAGAUCAUGCAACUCACUGACACCGGAGGAGUACCUUGUGUGUAUCAAACGUCGCAACGUAACUGGGUGACUCUAAAGAUGCUCUACAGGUAUCUCCGAGGGUAUCUAUUGAGUUGGCAUGGAUCAAGACUGGGAUUUGUCACUCCGUAUGACGGAGAGGUAUCUCGGGGCCCACUCGGUAAUACAUCAUUACAAUGAGCUUGCAAGCAAUGUGACUAAGUAGUUGGUCACGGAUCUUGUAUUACGGAACGAGUAAAGAGACUUACCAGUAACGAGAUUGAACUAGGUAUGGAGAUACCGACGAUCGAAUCUCGGGCAAGUAACAUAGCGAUAGACAAAGGGAACUGCAUACGGGAUUGAUUGAAUCCUUGGUAGCGUGGUUCGACCGAUAAAGAUCUUCGUGAAAUAUGUGGGAGACAAUAUGGGCAUCCAGGUCCCGCUGUUGGUUAUUGACCGGAGAGGUGUCUCGGUCAUGUCCACAUGAUUCUCAAACCCGUAGGGUCUGCAAGCUUAACGCUCGAUGACGCUAGAGUAGUAUUGGGAUAUUCACGUAGGUGACCGGAUGUUGUUCGGAGUCCCGGAUGAGAUCCCAGACGUCACAAGGAGCUCUGGAAUGGUCCGGAUGUAAAGAUCUAUAUAUGGGAAGUCAUAUUUUGGCUACCGGAAACGUUUCAGGUUUUACCGGUAUUGUACCGGAAAGCUUCUGGAAGGUUCCGGAAGGUUCUAGAAGGUUCCGUAGAGUUCCGGAGGAGUCCGAAAGGGUCCCUCCAGCACCUAGGGCGUGCAUGGGCUGUAAGGGGGCGUCCUAGCCUUAUUGGGAUAGGCGCACCAGCCCCCUAAGGCGCAUCCGCCUAGGGGAAGGGAAACCCUAAGGAGGAGGGCCCUCCACUUGGCUUGGAGAGGGCCCUCCACUUGGCUUGGAGGGCACUCCUCCCCUUUUGGACGCCUCCCCUCCUUGGUGGAGGGGCUAGGGCUGCGCCCCCAGCCCUCCAACACUCCUAUAUAUAGUGGGGAGGAGGGGCAAGGGCUGGACACAACAAUUCCCACGCCCUGCAGCCUCCCCUCUCUCCCGUUCUUCCUCGUUCAUAGUUCCAGAGGCGCUUGGCGAAGUCCUGCUGGAAUUGCUCCACCACCAUCUCCACCACGCCAUCAUGCUGGUUGAGAUCCCAUCUAUUUCUCCUCCCUCGCUUGCUGGAUCAAGAAGGAGGAGACGCCAUCGAGCCAUACGUGUACUGGACGCGAAGGUGUCGUCCGUUCGGCGCUAGAUCGGAUUGGAUCGUAAUCGGAUCGCGAAGAGUACGACUACAUCAACCGCGUGUUAUACGCUUCUAUUUAGCAAUCUACAAGGGUAUGUAGAUGCAAUCUCUCCUCUCGUAGAUGUUCAUCUCCUAGAUCGAUCUUGGUGAGCGUAGGAAAUUUUUUGUUUCCCAUGCAACGUUCCCCAACAGUUUCCUCAUUAUCGGUUUUGUUCUCUUUUCUCGUUAUCGCAUUCCGACAUUCCCGUGAUCAAAUCACGAUGUGUCUGGCAGACGAUGAUGGAUACUGUAACACCAAAAGGGCCCAAAGAGUAUCUCUCCAUCAUCGGAGGAGCAAUCCCAAUUUUGAGCUAUUGUCAUACUUUCCCAUGAACCUGAAAGCCGCGUAAUAGCCACCGUGUUACGGCUGAUGUUUAACUAACUCCAAAGUUCAUGAAGCAAGCAUGAAGGAACUUGAUACUCUCAUGAUCUAAGGAAUUAUGCAAACGCUAACUUCCCCAGUGCUAUAAAAUCAUUAACUCGUGACGAAUAUAUCUCAUAGCAUAACAUCAAUAUGGGUUAAUUCAACACAAGUGUUCUUCGAACAUUGUGUCCUCAAAAUUGUCGGGAUGGUCAUGCCCAUGAUCAAGAAAACGUGGCCAUCAUGCAACGCUUGAGCUAGUCUUAGAGGCACGACUAGGAAUAUAUUUUGAUCGGACAACCAAAGCGUGAGGCGAAUGAACGGUUAGCCACGUGACCGAUCCCUCGCAAAUACCAGUUUGUUGAUGCUUAGCGUGGGCCCACGAAUAUAUCAUCAUCACUAACCAUCAAAUUUUCCCAAGAGCAAACACAAAAGUCAAGUGCCUACUGAUGAAUCUCUACUUUGUAGUGGUAGAAGAAUUGUUGGGAUUAAUGGUGGCUUCAAAAUCUAUGUAUGCACCAAGUCUGUUGCCAAUGCUAGUGAAGAAAGUUCUAAGAAUAUUGAUGGUAACCUGUGGUCCAUAUUUGAUGCUAUGGUGACUGAAAAGAAUUAUGGUACACCAAGCUGCAUAUAUCAACACAAAAAUUGGAGAUAUUCAAUAUGGACAAGUCAUAUCCAUAUAAGACUCCUAUGGUUUCUCGAUCCCAAUACAUAGAGAAAGAUCCAUUCGGACUCCUUGGGAAGAUUCGAUCCUAAUGCAUAGAGAAAUAUCCAUUCAAACUCCUUGAGAAGAUUGGCGAAAAGAUGUUGGGGCUCAAGGUUCCAUAUCACAGUGCAAUUAUAAUGUUUAUGUAUCUUGCAAUUUGCAUGAGGUAUGAUAUCGUAUUUGCAGUGAAUGGCUGCUUUUGGUUAGGGCGUGGAUUUUCUGCAAGCAGUUGUGGGAGAUGUGAUGUGGAAAAGUUGAUGGAAGCUUUAUGUUAUGAGAAAUCUGUAAUGUCAUUUGGCAAACUAACUGUCUGAAAUAUGGUCGUGAAUGUAAAAGAAUAGCCCCAAGAGCUGAGAGAUUAUCUGUACAUUGUUUAACAACCAUAAUUAACACAUUACCAUAUCUUAUACUCCAUCCGCCCCAAAAUAAGUGACUCAACUUUAUGCUAACUUUGUAUUAAAGCUAAUACAAAGUUAAGUCACUUAUUUUAGGGAGUAUUUCUUUAUGGAAGGAGUAAUUUUUCGUUUUGCGAAUUUCAAGUUAAUUGACCACAUGAAAAUGAAUAAUCUACGAACUGUGGAUGUCAUUGACAGAUCAUGUUUAACCUAAUUGAGCACACUAAUGAUUUUACAAACCUUGAAUAUUCAGCUUCAAUAUAAGAAAAGUGAUUCUGAGAUAAUUGCUGAAUAGGAUGCAACACGAGUGUUGUAGGAAGAUAAUGUUGCUUGUAUUGCAGGCUUUUAUCUAGUCCAUCGAAGUAGGUAUGGAGUAAAAAUGUUAAUAGCACAGAAAAGAGAAUAUGCUUGCGAUGGCAACCCUCAUGACUUAUACGACACGUACGACGACAGCAGCAUGAGAGACAAAUAUUUCAGUUUCUUUUUUCACCGAGAACAAGCACACGGUGUGGCCGCUCAUGUGUCACAAAAAGAGAACACUCUCUUCCUUGAAGGGCAGUAAGCCAGAUAAAUAGGUCACUGCAAAUCCUUAUUCGGGAAAAAGUGGAGGGGGGGAACAUCCAUCAGCAGGGCCGGGCAUCCUGCCUCUAAAUACAUAUCCUGGCUAACAGACAGUAAAAAGCACAACAG